UGGGGAAUAUUGCACAAUGGGCGCAAGCCUGAUGCAGCCAUGCCGCGUGUAUGAAGAAGGCCUUCGGGUUGUAAAGUACUUUCAGCGGGGAGGAAGGGAGUAAAGUUAAUACCUUUGCUCAUUGACGUUACCCGCAGAAGAAGCACCGGCUAACUACGUGCCAGCAGCCGCGGUAAUACGUAGGUGGCAAGCGUUGUCCGGAUUUAUUGGGCGUAAAGCGAGCGCAGGCGGUUUCUUAAGUCUGAUGUGAAAGCCCCCGGCUCAACCGGGGAGGGUCAUUGGAAACUGGGAGACUUGAGUGCAGAAGAGGAGAGUGGAAUUCCAUGUGUAGCGGUGAAAUGCGUAGAUAUAGGGAGGAACACCAGUGGCGAAGGCGGCUCUCUGGUCUGUAACUGACGCUGAGGCUCGAAAGCGUGGGGAGCAAACAGG
rnacentral:rRNA from 1 species